rnacentral:tRNA from 1 species
GCCUGGGUAGCUCAGUCGGUUGAGCGUCCGACUUCAGCUCAGGUCAUGCAUGAUCUUGCAGUUCAUGAGUUCAAGCCCUGCCUCGGGCU